rnacentral:rRNA from 1 species
UACGAAGGGGGCUAGCGUUGCUCGGAAUCACUGGGCGUAAAGCGCACGUAGGCGGAUUGUUAAGUCAGGGGUGAAAUCCUAGAGCUCAACUCCAGAACUGCCUUUGAUACUGACGGUCUUGAGUCCGGGAGAGGUGAGUGGAACUCCGAGUGUAGAGGUGAAAUUCGUAGAUAUUCGGAAGAACACCAGUGGCGAAGGCGGCUCACUGGCCCGGUACUGACGCUGAGGUGCGAAAGCGUGGGGAGCAAACAGG